GACGAACGCUGGCGGCGUGCUUAACACAUGCAAGUCGAACGGAAAGGCCCUGCUUGCAGGGUACUCGAGUGGCGAACGGGUGAGUAACACGUGGGUGAUCUGCCCUGCACUUCGGGAUAAGCCUGGGAAACUGGGUCUAAUACCGGAUAGGAGCCAUUUUUAGUGUGAUGGUUGGAAAGUUUUUUCGGUGUAGGAUGAGCUCGCGGCCUAUCAGCUUGUUGGUGGGGUAAUGGCCUACCAAGGCGGCGACGGGUAGCCGGCCUGAGAGGGUGGACGGCCACAUUGGGACUGAGAUACGGCCCAGACUCCUACGGGAGGCAGAAGUGGGGAAGAUUGCACAAUGGGCGCAAGCCUGAUGCAGCGACGCCGCGUGGGGGAUGACGGCCUUCGGGUUGUAAACUCCUUUCGCUAGGGACGAAGCUUUUUGUGACGGUACCUAGAUAAGAAGCACCGGCUAACUACGUG
rnacentral:rRNA from 1 species